AAACCAUGCAGCGGGCAUUUUCUUAUAAAUUCCCUGAAUCAUUCCCAAACAUCAUACAAUGUCUCAUCUUCAAAUGCCGAAAAUAUGUAAUAUCGUUCCUCAAUUU
rfam:Gossypium arboreum cultivar AKA8401 contig_53160_5, whole genome shotgun sequence.